GGAGAGAUGCCGGAGUGGUCGAACGGGGCGGUCUCGAAAACCGUUGUGUGCGCAAGCAUACCCAGGGUUCGAAUCCCUGUCUCUCCGCCA
rnacentral:tRNA from 2 species